rnacentral:rRNA from 1 species
AGUGAACGCUGGCGGUAGGCCUAACACAUGCAAGUCGAGCGGCAGCACAGUAAGAGCUUGCUCUUACGGGUGGCGAGUGGCGGACGGGUGAGGAAUACAUCGGAAUCUACUUUUUCGUGGGGGAUAACGUAGGGAAACUUACGCUAAUACCGCAUACGACCUACGGGUGAAAGCAGGGGAUCUUCGGACCUUGCGCGAUUGAAUGAGCCGAUGUCGGAUUAGCUAGUUGGCGGGGUAAAGGCCCACCAAGGCGACGAUCCGUAGCUGGUCUGAGAGGAUGAUCAGCCACACUGGAACUGAGACACGGUCCAGACUCCUACGGGAGGCAGCAGUGGGGAAUAUUGGACAAUGGGCGCAAGCCUGAUCCGGCCAUACCGCGUGGGUGAAGAAGGCCUUCGGGUUGUAAAGCCCUUUUGUUGGGAAAGAAAAGCAGCAGGUUAAUACCCCGCUGUUCUGACGGUACCCAAAGAAUAAGCACCGGCUAACUUCGUG